rnacentral:miRNA from 1 species
UGUGUGUGUGUGUGUGUGUGUGUAUGUAUGUGUAUAUAUAUAUAUAUAUAUAUACACACACACACACACACACACA